ACCAUCUCGUCCGUUUCUUCUAUCUCUUUUUUUUUUAUCAUCUCGUCCAUCUCGUCUCUGUCGUUCCAUUAAUGGGUUUUUACAGAAGUUGAUUGAACACAGAAGAGAAGAAAAAUGUGAUGUUUUUACAUAUAAGAUUAAGGUUUCAAUGAGAAUCGAUAAUGAGAUAAAGAUUAUGGGUCUGCGGUUUAGAGAAAUUGAAUGAAAUCAGGGAUAGUUGAUGGUCAUGGUUUCGAUCCGUGUGUUGAUUCAAACUGAACAGAAAGUUUCUUUGAAGGAUUUUGAUGCUUGGGUAUCCAUCAGCAGCUGAAAGCAAUCACCAGUUUGGGGCAAUUUUCUGCUUACCUUUUUUUUCCUCGUUUGAGCAAAUCUUAGUCAUCGUUUUGUUCUGUAUAACCCGUUUGAUAUAAUGUCUCACUAGAAAAUGUUAUGAAUUCCUUACUCUUAAAUCCACUUUAAGAUAAUUUUCUACUUUCUCACAGUAGUUAACUAGUUAUAGUGGUGAAGAAGAUAUGCUCUCGUUUGAACUACGAAUUCUGCAUGUAACUAGAGAUUUCUGAUCUCCAAUCCAGUUCACAAGUGAAAUUAUCAAAAGUUCAAUGUUAAUUUUCCUUAGCUACACUUCAUAUUUCUUGGCCCUGUCUCUUUUUAAACAUUUAUGAAACUCUUUUUUUAUUAAUAGUAAAAUGGGAAUGAUAUUAAGUUUCCCC